UAUGAUGCCAGUUUUUAUAACAGCGGAAUAUUGGCUUCUUCUUCGACUCCAACUGUGAACAGCAGUAAAUCCCGUGCACGCGCGAGUGUGUGUGGUUUUUUUUUAAAAAAUUAUUUUAAUUUUUCAGAAUUAUUUGUAAUUUGGUUUCCACGUUACUUCUGAACGCCGAGAAACCGCCGAGCGAGACGCAAAGCCUACGUUCAAUGCAGUUGGAACAUGUCCUAUGUUCCCUUUCAAGGCUGGGGGCGUGAGGGAGCGAGUGCGAGCAAGCGAGCGGGAGUGGGUGUUUCGGAAGUGACAUCUCUUGGGCAGUAACCUUGUUUCCUGUGUGGUGGAGUUGGGGGCGGAUUCAAGGCGCUAGCAGCGCAGCAACAGUGACGCCGUGUGGACGCUUUGGGUGAGCAAUGGGGAACCCGGGACGUGCCGCGCGAGGGCUGGGUGAAUGAUCUAAUAGAUGUGAAGAAGUAUCCUCUGCUAUUUCAAAAUGGAAAACAGCAGUGCCGUUCUGUUUCAACAUUCAGUCAUCAGUUAAAAGGCAACUUAUGGAUGGAAUAAGCAAUCUUCUGCUGCUUGGGACAGUCUGUACAAUACCAAAGUCCUUCCAGAAGUAGAUCUCACCACUCUUGGCAUCACCUCAAGGCAGUUACUGAGGUGCUAAGAAGACCAAGCCAUCAGGGAGAGAUUCAUAUCUGUAGUUUCAGUGGUC
ensembl:lncRNA